CCGGUGACGACUUCGCCGCGCGUUGGUCAGCCAUGGCCACCGCUCUCGCGCUACGUAGCUUGUACCGAGCGCGACCCUCGCUGCGCUGUCCGCCCGUUGAGCUUCCCUGGUGAGCCUGGACCCCGCGUCCUCGACCAUCCAGCCCUCUAGGGCCGGCGACUGCCAGCCCAGCACCUUCCGGCCUCUCGGGCGGCCCGGCCCGGCCCCGCGCCCCUGACCCUUUCCCUCCGCAGGGCCCCGCGGCGAGGGCAUCGGCUCUCGCCGGCGGAUGACGAGCUGUAUCACCGGACGCGCAUCUCUCUGCUGCAACGCGAGGCUGCUGAGGCCACGUACAUCGACAGCUACAACAGCCGCGGCUUCAUGAUAAACGGAAACCGCGUGCUCGGCCCCUGCGCUCUGCUCCCGCACUCGGUGGUGCAAUGGAACGUGGGAUCCCACCAGGACAUCACCGAAGAGAGCUUUUCCCUCUUCUGGAUGCUGGAGCCCCGGAUAGAAAUUGUUGUGGUGGGGACUGGAGACCGGACCGAGAGGCUGCAGUCCCAGGUGCUUCAAGCCAUGAGGCAGCGGGGCAUUGCUGUGGAAGUGCAGGACACGGUGAGUCCCGGGACUGGGGCAUGCUGCGGGGAGCACAGGCCUGGCGCUAGACAGGCUGAUGCUGGCCUUUUCUUUGCAGCCCAAUGCCUGUGCCACCUUCAACUUCCUGUGUCAUGAAGGCCGAGUAACUGGAGCUGCUCUCAUCCCUCCACCAGGAGGGACUUCACUCACAUCUUUGGGCGAAGUUGCUCAAUGAACCGCCAGGAACUGACCUGCUGACUGCACUCUGCCAGGCUUCCCAAUGUUUUCCCUCUUAUCUACCCUUUGGCACUUAAUCUUGCUUAUCAACAUAAUAAUUUAUACACUUCUCCC
rnacentral:sRNA from 1 species